GGGGAUGACACGGCUUCGACGGGUGGAUCGCGCAGAUGGCUGCGUGUCGAGCUUUUUGGUAUGCUCGUAAAUCUUGCCAAAAACACUGCAACUGCGAACGAUUACGCAUUUGCGAUGGCGGCUUAAGUCCGCUGUCUGUUCCUCGGGGUGUAGGCUCAUCGGCCCCCGCUGGAGCAACGAUUAGAUGAGAUAGUCUGCAGGAUGCUGGCCGAAUACCUGCAGGCGAAACCAUAUCAGUCUCAGCACAGUGUUGGCCCUGCCAGCCGGCAUGGCGCUGUGUGAAGUACAAUAGGCAGGCUACACACGUAGACGCCUACCUGUUUGACCAUUCGGACCCGGGUUCGACUCCCGGCAUCUCCACCA
rnacentral:tmRNA from 1 species